rnacentral:rRNA from 1 species
CGUAGGCAGCAAGCGUUGUUCGGAGUUACUGGGCGUAAAGAGUGCGUAGGCGGUCCCUUAAGUUUGGUGUGAAAUCUCCCGGCUCAACUGGGAGGGUGCGCCGAAAACUGGGGGGCUUGAGUGUCGGAGAGGUACGCGGAAUUCCUGGUGUAGCGGUGAAAUGCGUAGAUAUCAGGAGGAACACCUGUGGUGUAGACAGCGUACUGGACGAUAACUGACGCUGAGGCACGAAAGCGUGGGUAGCAAACAGGAUUAGAUACCCUGGUAGUCCACGCCCUAAACGAUGCAUACUUGGUGUGGGCCAUUCAUUUGGUCUGUGCCGGAGCUAACGCGUUAAGUAUGCCGCCUGGGGAGUACGGUCGCAAGGCUG